rnacentral:rRNA from 1 species
AGUGAACGCUGGCGGUAGGCCUAACACAUGCAAGUCGAACGGCAGCACAGUAAGAGCUUGCUCUUACGGGUGGCGAGUGGCGGACGGGUGAGGAAUACAUCGGAAUCUACUUUUUCGUGGGGGAUAACGUAGGGAAACUUACGCUAAUACCGCAUACGACCUACGGGUGAAAGCAGGGGAUCUUCGGACCUUGCGCGAUUGAAUGAGCCGAUGUCGGAUUAGCUAGUUGGCGGGGUAAAGGCCCACCAAGGCAACGAUCCGUAGCUGGUCUGAGAGGAUGAUCAGCCACACUGGAACUGAGACACGGUCCAGACUCCUACGGGAGGCAGCAGUGGGGAAUAUUGGACAAAGGGCGCAAGCCUGAUCCAGCCAUACCGCGUGGGUGAAGAAGGCCUUCGGGUUGUAAAGCCCUUUUGUUGGGAAAGAAAAGCAGCAGGUUAAUACCCCGCUGUUCUGACGGUACCCAAAGAAUAAGCACCGGCUAACUUCGUG